AGAGUUUGAUCCUGGCUCAGGACGAACGCUGGCGGCACGCUUAACACAUGCAAGUCGAACGAGAGAAGAGAAGCUUGCUUUUCUGAUCUAGUGGCGGACGGGUGAGUAACACGUGAGCAAUCUGCCUUUCAGAGGGGGAUACCGAUUGGAAACGAUCGUUAAUACCGCAUAAUAUAAUUGAACCGCAUGAUUUGAUUAUCAAAGAUUUAUCGCUGAAAGAUGAGCUCGCGUCUGAUUAGCUAGUUGGUAAGGUAACGGCUUACCAAGGCGACGAUCAGUAGCCGGACUGAGAGGUUGAUCGGCCACAUUGGGACUGAGACACGGCCCAGACUCCUACGGGAGGCAGCAGUGGGGAAUAUUGCACAAUGGAGGAAACUCUGAUGCAGCGAUGCCGCGUGAGGGAAGAAGGUUUUAGGAUUGUAAACCUCUGUCUUCAGGGACGAAAAAUGACGGUACCUGAGGAGGAAGCUCCGGCUAACUACGUGCCAGCAGCCGCGGUAAUACGUAGGGAGCGAGCGUUGUCCGGAAUUACUGGGUGUAAAGGGAGCGUAGGCGGGAUCGCAAGUCAGAUGUGAAAACUAUGGGCUUAACCCAUAAACUGCAUUUGAAACUGUGGUUCUUGAGUGAAGUAGAGGUAAGCGGAAUUCCUAGUGUAGCGGUGAAAUGCGUAGAUAUUAGGAGGAACAUCAGUGGCGAAGGCGGCUUACUGGGCUUUAACUGACGCUGAGGCUCGAAAGCGUGGGGAGCAAACAGGAUUAGAUACCCUGGUAGUCCACGCCGUAAACGAUGAUUACUAGGUGUGGGGGGACUGACCCCUUCCGUGCCG
rnacentral:rRNA from 1 species